CACAUGCAAGUCGCACGAGAAAGUUGGCUUUCGGCCAUGAGUUACAGUGGCGGACGGGUGAGUAACACGUGGGUAAUCUGCCCUUCGGUGGGGGAUAACUGUCCGAAAGGAUAGCUAAUACCGCAUUCGUCGGCGGGGGUGCGCCCCCUGUCGGGAAAGCCGACCUCUUCAUGAAAGUUGGCGCCGGAGGAUGAGCCCGCGUCCCAUCAGCUAGUUGGCGGUGUAAGAGACCACCAAGGCAAAGACGGGUAGCUGGUCUGAGAGGAUGAUCAGCCACACUGGGACUGAGACACGGCCCAGACUCCUACGGGAGCAGCAGUGGGGAAUAUUGGGCAAUGGCGCAAGCCUGACCCAGCCACGCCGCGUGAGUGAUGAAGGCCUUCGGGUCGUAAAGCUCUGUGGGGAGGGACGAAAAGACGCUGGCUAACAUCCAGCGGGCUGACGGUACCUCCUUAGCAAGCACCGGCUAACUCCGUGCCAGCAGCCGCGGUAA
rnacentral:rRNA from 1 species